rnacentral:rRNA from 1 species
AACAGGAUUAGAUACCCUGGUAGUCCACGCCGUAAACGAUGUCGACUUGGAUGUUGUGCCCUUGAGGCGUGGCUUCCGGAGCUAACGCGUUAAGUCGACCGCCUGGGGAGUACGGCCGCAAGGUUAAAACUCAAAUGAAUUGACGGGGGCCCGCACAAGCGGUGGAGCAUGUGGUUUAAUUCGAUGCAACGCGAAGAACCUUACCUGGUCUUGACAUCCACAGAACUUUCCAGAGAUGGAUUGGUGCCUUCGGGAACUGUGAGACAGGUGCUGCAUGGCUGUCGUCAGCUCGUGUUGUGAAAUGUUGGGUUAAGUCCCGCAACGAGCGCAACCCUUAUCCUUUGUUGCCAGCGGUCCGGCCGGGAACUCAAAGGAGACUGCCAGUGAUAAACUGGAGGAAGGUGGGGAUGACGUCAAGUCAUCAUGGCCCUUACGACCAGGGCUACACACGUGCUACAAUGGCGCAUACAAAGAGAAGCGACCUCGCGAGAGCAAGCGGACCUCAUAAAGUGCGUCGUAGUCCGGAUUGGAGUCUGCAACUCGACUCCAUGAAGUCGGAAUCGCUAGUAAUCGUGGAUCAGAAUGCCACGGUGAAUACGUUCCCGGGCCUUGUACACACCGCCCGUCACACCAUGGGAGUGGGUUGCAAAAGAAGUAGGUAGCUUAACCUUCGGGAGGGCGCUUACCACUUUGUGAUUCAUGACUGGGGUGAAGUCGUAACAAGGUAACCGUAGGGGAACCUGCGGUUGGAUCACCUCCUU